GACAUCGUCGUCUAGUUGGUUAGGACACCUCGUUGUGGCCGAGGAAACACGAGUUCGAAUCUCGUCGAAGUCA